GUGAAGAAACCGGCCGCCAUCUUACGGUGCCCACAACAGCCGCCGCAGCGAUCAUGGCAACUUCUUGCAAUUACGGUCGUACCAACCGUACUGGCAAGGUUACAGGGCCUAAACUUAUACAGGUUUCGUCAUGAGGGCCCAGUGAAUAAUCUGUGCAGGUGAUACGGCUGGGUGUACAGGUUACUUCACAGCUGCCUCGACAUACUCAAGAAAUGGGUGCAGAACCUGCGUAAUGCCCACAAACUUUGACUACCAC